rnacentral:lncRNA from 1 species
AGCUGGUGAAGGUUUCUAAGGAGAUGAUGGUCAGUGCUCUCUGGGCUGCAGGAACACCAGGGCAGUGCAGAAGCUCACCUCUAGCCUGCUGUGUUCUGUGGGUCACAAGCUAUGGUGGCCUAAAUCUAUUACUAGAAGAUGACCAUACUCACACCACAGAGGAUGGUUGUGGUAAUUAAAAUGUCUAAUAGAUGUGAAGGCACUGAGAUGUCUAGAGAUCUAACUGCAGAGAUCAUUAGCGUCAGAGGACGAUCUCAUCUUGAAUGCUGGCAGCUAGCGAAACUGGACCACACAGAGCCAUGGAGGGGGAAAAAGAUGAAAGGAGCAAAUAGAGGAAAGACAACCAAGAUUAUUUCCAAUUUCUUGAGAUAUCCCUUCCACCUGGAUGCUUUGAUAAUGGCAUAGCAGCAAACAAAGUCUGAGGCUACAUGAGACUCAAAAAUAAGAGGGAGAAAUCACUCAGUUCUGUCAUCCAGAUAUUUCAUUUGCAGGGCAACAAACAGC